GAGUUUGAUCAUGGCUCAGGACGAACGCUGGCGGCGUGCUUAACACAUGCAAGUCGAACGAUGAAGCGGUGCUUGCACCGUGGAUUAGUGGCGAACGGGUGAGUAAUACGUGAGUGACCUACCUUUGACUCUGGGAUAAGCCUGGGAAACUGGGUCUAAUACCGGAUACGACCAAUCUCUGCAUGGGGUGUUGGUGGAAAGCGUUAUGGAGUGGUUUUAGAUGGGCUCACGGCCUAUCAGCUUGUUGGUGAGGUAAUGGCUUACCAAGGCGACGACGGGUAGCCGGCCUGAGAGGGUGACCGGCCACACUGGGACUGAGACACGGCCCAGACUCCUACGGGAGGCAGCAGUGGGGAAUAUUGCACAAUGGGCGCAAGCCUGAUGCAGCGACGCCGCGUGAGGGAUGACGGCCUUCGGGUUGUAAACCUCUGUUAGCAUCGAAGAAGCGAAAGUGACGGUAGGUGCAGAGAAAGCGCCGGCUAACUACGUGCCAGCAGCCGCGGUAAUACGUAGGGCGCGAGCGUUGUCCGGAAUUAUUGGGCGUAAAGAGCUUGUAGGCGGUUGGUCGCGUCUGCUGUGAAAGGCCGGGGCUUAACUCCGGUUUUGCAGUGGGUACGGGCUAACUAGAGUGCAGUAGGGGAGACUGGAAUUCCUGGUGUAGCGGUGGAAUGCACAGAUAUCAGGAGGAACACCGAUGGCGAAGGCAGGUCUCUGGGCUGUAACUGACGCUGAGAAGCGAAAGCAUGGGGGAGCGAACAGGAUUAGAUACCCUGGUAGUCCAUGCCGUAAACGUUGGGCACUAGGUGUGGGGGACAUUCCACGUUUUCCGCGCCGUAGCUAACGCAUUAAGUGCCCCGCCUGGGGAGUACGGCCGCAAGGCUAAAACUCAAAGGAAUUGACGGGGGCCCGCACAAGCGGCGGAGCAUGCGGAUUAAUUCGAUGCGACGCGAAGAACCUUACCAAGGCUUGACAUGCAUUAGAUCGCGUCAGAGAUGGCGUUUCCCUUCGGGGCUGGUGUACAGGUGGUGCAUGGUUGUCGUCAGCUCGUGUCGUGAGAUGUUGGGUUAAGUCCCGCAACGAGCGCAACCCUCGUUCUAUGUUGCCAGCGGUUCGGCCGGGGACUCAUAGGAGACUGCCGGGGUCAACUCGGAGGAAGGUGGGGAUGACGUCAAAUCAUCAUGCCCCUUAUGUCUUGGGCUUCACGCAUGCUACAAUGGCCGGUACAGAGGGUUGCGAUACUGUGAGGUGGAGCUAAUCCCUUAAAGCCGGUCUCAGUUCGGAUUGGGGUCUGCAACUCGACCCCAUGAAGUCGGAGUCGCUAGUAAUCGCAGAUCAGCAACGCUGCGGUGAAUACGUUCCCGGGCCUUGUACACACCGCCCGUC
rnacentral:rRNA from 1 species